ACGCCAGGGGCAAAAGGUCAUAGCCCACGUUAUGCUUGCAUAUAAGUGGGCUUAUGACUUUGGGACCCGCCCCACUAUGAGGAUAAAAGUGGGGCGUAUGCUCCACGAUAUCCGAAUAGGGGGUAGAAUUGUGAGAGCACGAAGUGCGGAACAAUUCGUAAGG
rnacentral:sRNA from 1 species